rnacentral:rRNA from 1 species
AGCGAACGCCGGCGGCAGGCCUAACACAUGCAAGUCGAACGAACUCUUCGGAGUUAGUGGCGGACGGGUGAGUAACACGUGGGAACGUGCCUCUAGGUUCGGAAUAACUCAGGGAAACUUGUGCUAAUACCGAAUGUGCCCUUCGGGGGAAAGAUUUAUCGCCUUUAGAGCGGCCCGCGUCUGAUUAGCUUGUUGGUGGGGUAAUGGCCCACCAAGGCGACGAUCAGUAGCUGGUCUGAGAGGAUGACCAGCCACAUUGGGACUGAGACACGGCCCAAACUCCUACGGGAGGCAGCAGUGGGGAAUCUUGCGCAAUGGGCGAAAGCCUGACGCAGCCAUGCCGCGUGGAUGAUGAAGGUCUUAGGAUUGUAAAAUCCUUUCACCGGUGAAGAUAAUGACUGUAGCCGGAGAAGAAGCCCCGGCUAACUUCGUGCCAGCCGCCGCGGUAAAAC